CGGCGAGAAGGGCAAACCCGGUGCGAACCGGGGACGCAAAGCCACGGGACCCACGAGGUCGGCCGGGCUACCACC
rfam:Actinoplanes awajinensis subsp. mycoplanecinus strain NRRL B-16712 P067contig17.1, whole genome shotgun sequence.